rfam:Lactobacillus cacaonum DSM 21116 NODE_46, whole genome shotgun sequence.
GCCUUGGGACAAUGUUGUCCUUGUGAACCGUGUCAGGUCCGGAAGGAAGCAGCACUAAGCUCGGUUCGGCAUGUGUCUCAAGUUAAU